rnacentral:rRNA from 1 species
CAGCGCCACGAGUGGCAAUCACGAUUAUUGGGUCUAAAGCGUCCAUAGCCGGUUCGGUAAAUCUUUUGUGAAAUCGUUGGGCUCAACCUAACGGCAUGCAGAAGACACUGCCGGACUUGAGACCGGAAGGAGUACAGAGUAUGGUGUGGGGACCGGUAAAAUGGGAUAAUCCACGCUAGACUACCAAUGGCGAAGGCACUGUACCAGGACGGAUCUGACGGUGAGGGACGAAAGCUAGGGGAGCGAACCGGAUUAGAUACCCGCGUAGUCC